CUGUGCUGGAAUUUUUUUUUUUUUUUUUAAGUGCUGCAAGUGACUCCAGAGUUGGGAGUCUGCCCUGGAAGUUGAUCCGGGUCAGGAGUGAGUGGCAAGAAGGGAGACAGUUGGGGCUGGUGAUUGGAGUAAACAAAGUGUUCUGUGUUUGCCCCAGGCUCCAGGCAUGCCACAGCCAGGUGCAGAUGUAGAGCACCCAAACCAGCUCCACAACCCUGCCACAGCUCCCCCAUGCCCUUCACUCAAAGCCUGUUAUUCCUAUGCACCUGCCUCCCCAUUCAGAGGCCUGACUAACCUUUCCCCAAGGAGACCUGUCAGGUGUGGAUAACCUUCCCUUCCUGCUGAAGUGGAAGUCCCCUGAGACUGAGAGAGGAGAGUUUGGACAAAUGUUCACCGCUCUGUCUGAUUCACACGCAUCUUCUUCCAGGGCACUUUUUUUGGGAGCUAAAACCCUUCAGCCCCUGGACCGUCACCCUCUUUUCUCAGAGAAAGCCCUCCUCCCAGGCCUGCCCUUUCAUCAAGACUCAGCCUAAGAAGAUAUCAGAGGUCUUAGAGCCCGGAUCCACUUUCCCAAAUCCCCAGGCACCCAGAGGCAAGCAGGGCAGAGACAGAUGUCUUCGCUGAAGGCCCUGUAAAGCCCAAGGGCACAAGGGAUUUGCCCUGGCCUGAGGGGGUUCCCAGUACAAAGGACUUUCAACUUUAAAAAA